rnacentral:lncRNA from 1 species
CGAAAAUCCAUCUCUGAUUACACACUAGUACACUGUGUGAUACAACACCAUGCCAUGACACAUAUCACACCAUACCAUACCAUACCAUACCAUACUAUACCAAACAACAUUGUAUCAUACCAUACCAUACAACAUCCAAAUGUAUCAUUUACCACCAUCAGAUUGCAACUGUGCACAGGAAGGAAUCACCAACCAUGGUUCAUGUUCUCAAGAAGUAGCAACCAUUGGUCAAUGUGAAUGCAAACAGAAUGUAACAGGUCGGCGCUGUGACAGAUGUGAGGAUGCAUAUUAUGGGUACACAAACCCCCCAGUUGGAAACUGUAUAGGUAAGUGACCUACAGUUGCCC